rnacentral:misc_RNA from 1 species
UCCGGUUUGGCACCGGCAGUUUCCCUAGAGUUCCCGGCAUUACCCGCUGGCAACUAAGGACAGGGGUUGCGCUCGUUGCGCCACUUAAGGCAACACCUCACGGCACGAGCUGACGACAGCCAUGCACCACCUGUGCGGGCUCCGAAGAGCGCCGUGUUUCCACGGUUCCACCCAAGGGCGUCACCUCCGUUUCGGGAGGCUAAUCCGUGCAUUUCAAACCCUGGUAAGGUUCUGCGCGUUGCUUCGAAUUGAACCACAUGCUCCACCGCUUGUGUGAGCCCCCGUCAAUUCCUUUGAGUUUUAGCCUUGCGGCCGUACUCCCCAGGCGGGGUGCUUAAUGCGUUAGCUGCGGCACGGAGAACGUGGAAUGUUCCCCACACCUAGCACCCACCGUUUACGG